rnacentral:rRNA from 1 species
GACGAACGCUGGCGGCGUGCUUAACACAUGCGAGUCGAACGAAGAGCGACGGAAGCUUGCUUCUAUCAAUCUUAGUGGCGAACGGGUGAGUAACGCGUAAUCAACCUGCCCUUCAGAGGGGGACAACAGUUGGAAACGACUGCUAAUACCGCAUACGAUCUAAUCUCGGCAUCGAGGAUGGAUGAAAGGUGGCCUCUACAUGUAAGCUAUCACUGAAGGAGGGGAUUGCGUCUGAUUAGCUAGUUGGAGGGGUAACGGCCCACCAAGGCGAUGAUCAGUAGCCGGUCUGAGAGGAUGAACGGCCACAUUGGGACUGAGACACGGCCCAGACUCCUACGGGAGGCAGCAGUGGGGAAUCUUCCGCAAUGGACGAAAGUCUGACGGAGCAACGCCGCGUGAGUGAUGACGGCCUUCGGGUUGUAAAGCUCUGUUAAUCGGGACGAAAGGCCUUCUUGUGAAUAGUGAGAAGGAUUGACGGUACCGGAAUAGAAAGCCACGGCUAACUACGUG